rnacentral:lncRNA from 1 species
AGCCUUAACCCCUUGAUACAGAACUAGAUUAAAAACAACAACAAAACUCUAUACAUGUGAACCCUGAUAUAGUGAGGGACGACUGUAUUUACAGUUUGGGCUGGUUCGCCCUUUCUUAGGCAACUUGUUGAUCCCGUGCUCCCAGGGUUCUUACCAGACUUAGUGUGGACAUGUGAUUGGCUUGAUCCACUGCAGCAGCUCAGAGCUUCCCAGCUCAAAUGAUCCACCAGAAAAGAGCUAACUUCUUCAAGUAAAUAACUUGAGGCAAAAGGAAGAAAGUUAAAGGAUCAGACCAGUUCUCCAAAUGUAUGAUUAGAUCUGGAUUGUAAAAGACACAAGACUUAUUUUGCAAUAACUAGCCAUAAGAACCCUAUUAUCUGAUCCUACAGAGACCUUGUUUAGAGUACACAAAACUUCCCUGGAGGGCUUUCCAGUUAAAGAAAGAAGCAAAUCAACAGCAUUCUGGUACAAGACGUUAGAAGAUGCAAAACACAAAAUUGAUUUUCAUUGUGAGAGAUGUAUGUCAUUCAUUUGCUUCCCAGUCUUCAGCUUAAGCUUAGCAAUGAGACUCUGCCAAAAGCUAGGAGCUGGCUUCCAAGAACAUCAGGGAAACAACAGCCUUUGCUCGGCCUUCUAUUUUUGCCC